GGCUGGUAAAACAAUCACAUUUAGGUGAGUCACUCCUGUUCAUUUUUAAAUUUCACAUUCUGUUCAAGCUCUCUUCCUUUAUCAUUCUACCCCCGUCCUUCUUGCAGAAAUCUAGACUCUUCCUUGUCAUUCACCUUCUUCCUGGCACUCAUGCUCUCUGAGAAUCCUCUACUUAAGGGCUUUUUCUUGGUAGCACAAGCUCUUCCCUUGGCUUGGGCCUGGGUGAACCAAGCCCUUUCUUUUUUCUUUUUUUUUUUAAGUGGAGGAGGAAGUAGCUUUUUCUCAAAAGGUGAUCUCCAGCUUCCUUGCAGUCUUCCUGUUACAUGGACCAGGAGGAGGAGCAGCGUUGAACGUUGAGGUGGGGAUGUCAGUGCUGCUUGCGCUAAACUGGUCCCUUUCAGGAGGUACCUCGUGGAAGUGGCUGGCUACAAGGCCACCUGAGCACUUAGGAUGUUCUCUCCGUAGAGACUUGUUCUCAGCUAUGACUCAGCUAGUCACCUGUUCUGUCACUUCUAGCGCCUAGCCUUGAAAAUUCGAACUAAUGAAGAAAAUUAGUAAAAAUACAGGAAAAACUAGGGACAGGUGAGCACACAAAAUGUGUGCUAUUACUUCUUUGAAAUUCCUGGGGGUAGCUCAAUUUACGUAAUUGGCUGUGUGUUUUCUGGACAUAGUAGGAAAAAACCAUCACUCAUAACAAUUUUACUCGUCUAUCUUUAAGGAAAACAAAGUCGUUGCUGAGAAGUAAAACUUUUCCUGGUACUGAGAUAAACUGCUCCCUUGGCUCUGAUAGAGAGAACCCUAUUUUCUGCAGCGAACAAUGUCCUCAAAGUUAAUGUGUAACUUUUUUCUUUCCAUAAUGUGAGUCAACGGGGUAAAUGUAAAAUGCGGUAUGGUGAAAGCAGUUCUUUGGUGGGAAGGAAGCAGACCACUGUGUCCAGAUUAGAUUAUCACCAGGGUUCUCCCAAAAGAGAAGGUGAGGUGACUCAGAGCCCUUCCUGAGAAAGGUGUAUUCCUGAGAGGAAAGCACAGGAGAGCGGUCGUGGAGAAUGUCUGGGGGCAGUUCACGGUCCAGACAGAGACUGGAGGUGUCCCUUCCAAACUAUUCCUUUUGGACUGUGGAGUGGAAGUCUGCCUGCCAUCUACUGAGACAUGAGGAGUUUGGUGGGUGUUGUAGGCUUGAUAAUCAGUUUGCCAGCUUGCUGCUGCUGCUGCUGCUAAGUCGCUUCAGUCGUGUUGGACUCUGUGCGACCCCAUAGACGGCAGCCCACCAGGCUCCCCUGUCCCUGGGAUUCUCCAGGCAAGAACACUGGAGUG